AUCCUUCCAAUCUGGGCCCGCGCACCCUAUAUUAGCGGCGCCGGGAAGUAGGCACAGGUCUGCUUGCCGGCUAUGGCGAUAAACGAUGCGUGGCAUAAGCGUCGUGGACCCGGGGGCAGUACCCGGCGCCUCCACCAGUUUUCGCUCCCUCGGGCCGCCGCCCGGCGGGGCGCCAUGAUCGGGGGCGAAACAGGCUCGACACGCGUGGUAAAGACCCAUCUUUCGCCCGGCAUGGUUCCGCCGUCAUCGGGCCGAUCCUUAAGUGCCAACGACAACGUGGCGCUCGCUGUUGCUGCGUAAGCAAUAAGCGCGGUCCGGGGGGCACCGGGCAACAGAAGCCCCCCACU
rnacentral:tmRNA from 1 species